UACGAAGGGGGCUAGCGUUGCUCGGAUUGACUGGGCGUAAAGGGCGCGUAGGCGGUUCGUACAGUCAGACGUGAAAUUCCUGGGCUCAACCUGGGGGCUGCGUUUGAUACGUGCGGACUUGAGUGCGGAAGAGGGUCGUGGAAUUCCCAGUGUAGAGGUGAAAUUCGUAGAUAUUCGCAAGAACACCAGUGGCGAAGGCGGCUCACUGGCCCGGUACUGACGCUGAGGCACGAAAGCGUGGGGAGCAAACAGG
rnacentral:rRNA from 1 species